rnacentral:rRNA from 1 species
UACGUAGGGCGCAAGCGUUGUCCGGAAUUAUUGGGCGUAAAGAGCUCGUAGGCGGUUUGUCGCGUCUGUCGUGAAAGCUUGGGGCUUAACCCCAAGUCUGCGGUGGAUACGGGCAGACUAGAGGCAGGUAGGGGAGAACGGAAUUCCCGGUGUAGCGGUGAAAUGCGCAGAUAUCGGGAGGAACACCGGUGGCGAAGGCGGCUUGCUGGGCCUUACCUGACGCUGAGGAGCGAAAGCGUGGGGAGCGAACAGG